UACGAAGGGGGCUAGCGUUGCUCGGAAUCACUGGGCGUAAAGGGUGCGUAGGCGGGUCUUUAAGUCAGGGGUGAAAUCCCAAGGCUCAACCUUGGAACUGCCUUUGAUACUGGGGAUCUCGAGUCCGGAAGAGGUGAGUGGAACUGCGAGUGUAGAGGUGAAUUUCGUAGAUAUUCGCAAGAACACCAGUGGCGAAGGCGGCUCACUGGUCCGGUACUGACGCUGAGGUGCGAAAGCGUGGGGAGCAAACAGG
rnacentral:rRNA from 1 species